GAAUUUUGGGCAAUGGGCGAAAGCCUGACCCAGCAACGCCGCGUGAAGGAUGAAAUCCCUCGGGAUGUAAACUUCGCAAGAACGGGAAGAAUAAGUAAGAGUUAACAUCUCUUACGAUGACGGUACUGUUUGUAAGCUCCGGCUAACUCCGUGCCAGCAGCCGCGGUAAUACGGGGGGAGCAAGCGUUGUUCGGAUUUACUGGGCGUAAAGGGCGCGUAGGCGGCCACCGCAAGUCGACUGUGAAAUCUCCGGGCUUAACCCGGAAAGGUCAGCCGAUACUGCGGGGCUAGAGUGCAGAAGGGGCAACUGGAAUUCUCGGUGUAGCGGUGAAAUGCGUAGAUAUCGAGAGGAACACCUGCGGCGAAGGCGGUCUCCUGGGCCGGUACUGACGCUGAGGGACGAAAGCGUGGGGAGCAAACAGG
rnacentral:rRNA from 1 species